AAAGCAGGGAUUGUGUGUAUCGGCGUUGUGCAACAAUAAGUGCACUGUGUCCGAAAGAGUUCUCUGCAACAUUGAUCUGGGGAAGGUGGGCAGUUGUGUUUCAUCUUUACCGUUGAUAUUUUCAACAAUCAUCUUCCCCACAUCG